GCCCCCUACUCCCUGUCUUUGCCUCCCAAUUUGGAUGUCUAGAUGGAAUUUCAUGUCUGAUGUUCCUGUAGAAACUUCUAGUACUGAUCAGGGCAUUUGUUAAACUCAUAGAUAAAUACCCCUACUAGACUAUAAGUUCCCUGAGGUCAGGAUUCUUAUCUUGUUUACAUCUGUAACCACAUUGCCCAAUAUUCUAGUUGCCAGACAAAAUACAGGACACCCAGUUAUAGUGAAUUUCAAAGAACACAUAACUUUUUAGUAUAAAUAUGUACCAAAUAUUGCAUGAGAGUGUAAUUUGCCCAAGUCAGGAAGUGAAUGCCAGGAAUAGUCAUACAAGAAAUUUUUUGUCUUUUGAGGCCAGCCCCGUGGGGUAUUGGUUGACUUCAGCAUGCUCUGUUUCAGCAGCCCAGUUUGCAGGUUCGGAUCCCGGGCACAGACCUACACCACUCAGCCAUACUGUAGCGGCAACCCACAUACAAAGUAGAGGAAGGUUGGCACAGAGGUUAGCUCAGGACUAGUCUUCCUCAAGCAAAAAACGAGGAAGACUAGCAACAGAUAUUAGCUCAGGGCCAAUCUUCCUCAGCAAAAAGGGAAAAAAGUCUUUGUUGACAUUUACAUGUAACUGGGAGUCUUGCAUUUUUAUUGGUUAAGUUGGGAAACCCUGCUCAAUAUAUACUAGCAGAAUACACGUUCUGAACAUCGGCUAUGUACCAGGCAACUCACACCUUCUGCUUAAAUAAUUAUUUGUGCAGUUACUUGUUUUAAUGUUUCUCUCCCAUGCUCUUAAGGGCAAAGAUUAUGCCUGUUUUGUGCACCACUGCCCUCCAUACUUUACCCCACGUAGACUCAAUAGAUAUUCCUAGAAUUGAAAGGGAACUGAAAGGGGCCCUUUUACAAUGGUGCUGCCUUUCCGUGGCAAUCUCCAGCUGGAAUCAGGGGCCUGCACAGUGAUAAGGAAACCUGAAGGGGGCGGUGUCUCCUCAGGCUCCGGCUGCCUGCUGUCCAUCACUACUCCUGACGCUCAGGCGGGUCCUCAAACUCCAAGCCUGGGAGGUGGGGCUUGCCCGACAGAGGGGCAAGACUCAGGCAGGCAGGCGAGAUGCCAGAUGGGCACUUGACCCGCCCAGGCCCUCGACGAGGCCCCUGGGUGCUCUUGCCUUUAUUCCUCUCUUGUCCUCUGGCCUUCUACGGUGUCUGCUGAAUGUCCCGUGUGAGGCUCAGGUGACAAGGAUGACAAGAAUGACAAGGAUGGUGAUCAUUCACCUCCCCGGUUCCUCACACAGUCUCUGCCCUCAAACAGUCUUGGUUCAGUCCUCCGUCCUGUAGCUCCUGAGAGGAGAUCAAAGCAGGCAUUCAGGUUACUCCCGGAAAAGUCCAUCUCAUUGAAUCCUCUUAACCAGCCCUCGGGAGGGGCACCAAUGGCAUUUCCUUACACAGAUGAGGGAGUGGAGGCCAGAGAGGGUGAGAAAUUUGUCCAAGCCAUAGAGGUGUGAUUAGACACACCCCAUCCAGCUGGUCCCCAGCACACUGCACAGUCCCCUAUUCCCAGCAUCCACAGUGCUCACUGUGUGACCUUGGACAAGUUAUUCUCAUUUCUGUGCCUUGGUUUGCUCAUCUGUAAAAUGGGUUUAAUAAAAGUGUCUUCCUCAUAGAGUUGUAGGAAUCUAGUGAAACGAUCCAUGUAAAGAAUGGCCUGGCACAAAAUAAGUGCUUCAUAAAUGUGAGCUACCAAUGUCACUACUGUGUUUCUCAUGUGAUCCUGAGCCGCCCACUUCCCGGCCUCACCCACGCAGCCAGCAGCGCGAUGUUUGAUGACUACACACUGCUGUUAAGUCAGCUGUUUCCCAAACUCGGCCUGAAGAUGUGAAUUACCUGGAGGCACUUGCUACAAAAUCGAUUCUCGGGCACCUCCCUGGAGAUUCUGAUUGGCAGCCCAAUGUUUCGUUGGUUCGAAUCCUGGGCGCAGACAUGGCACUGCUCAUCAGACCACGCUGAGGCAGCGUCCCACCUACCACAACUAGAAGGACCCACAACGAAGAAUAUACAACUAUGUACUGGGGGGCUUUGGGGAGAAAAGGAAAAAAAAUCUUAAAAAAAUAAUAAAAAAUAAAUAAGGGCAGAAAAAUAUGAAGAAGAAAGGGGAAGCCAGUCCUCUUCCCACCUCACAGCUUGAUGACCAUUUCUGUCAACAGUGGAUACUCACACGGCCUCAGGUUACCAUAUUUUUGGUUGAAACUUAAAAGGGGAAAGACUUUCCUUCCUGUCUGUAACCUGCGUCUUUCACUCCAUGACACAUCCAUCAACAUCUUUCCAUGUCAAUACGAUGUUAUUUUUAACAGCUGCGUGAUGCUCCGGCUGAGGAUGGACUGUACUGUAUUUAUCAUUGGGUGUUCAGGUUGUUUCCAGUUCGACUCUGUUAUAGACAGUGCCAGAGUGAGCAUCUUACAGAUACAUCUUUGCCUGCUUAUCUGAGUAUUUUAUAUGCAGAGCUGCUGGGUCAAAUGGAGAGAAGUUGGGAGACAAAUAGGAAGAAAGACUGAGACAGACAGGCAGAGUCUGGGGGGACAGACAUACCCAAGGAGAGACAGUAAGAGAGAGAGUCACAAAGAUACGCAGAGAGACAGAAUGAGGGAAAGAGGUGGAGAGAGACAAGGAGAGCAGGGGGAGGGAGAGCGAGGGAGAGACAAGCUUGCGGCUCUCCAGGGAGACGUGGAGGGAACUUGUCUGAGGGCCCAGCAGCCUGCCAGGGAAUCCAAGCCAAGAAGUGACUAAGCAACUUUGAGGAACACACCCUACAGAUAGAAUUGUGGAUGAGGUCAGAGUCCAGUGCAAGGAUUUUCAGGGCACUAUUGUUCCUGAAAAGCAAAAGAUGAGAAGCAACCUAAUUGCCCAUCAACAGGGGACUGGGUGUAGAUUGUGCUGCAGAUGCCGAUAGGAGCCCAUCUCCCAGCAGGGCUGCAGAGUCAGCACAUGGAAGCGCAGGAGGCCCAGUGACGCCGGAACUUCUGUUAAAGUCAAGUCUGCCCCAUGCGUUGUUAGACUAAAUGCUUAUUUGGCGUUUAUCUGAACUUCCAAUUUAAUUGGGCAUCUGUAUUUUAUCCGGCAAGCCUAUCUCCAAGAUGAGUGAGAACAGCAUAGAGGACGUGUGUGUGUCCAUGUGCCCACGAGGAGGGCUUCUGAGGUGGCUCUCGAGGCUCCAGCUCCUGACCUGGGUGGUGGUUGUAGCUGAGAGGAAGGGACUUACAGGGUCACACAACACGGGGGUAGGGCUAGGCUGGACCCCAGCUUUGUGCUCUGUGGCAAUUUGUGUAUAUGUCUUAAAAGUGUUAAUGUGUUAAAUAAAAAUAUUUUAAAAAACAGACACGAUUUUCUAAACUCUGUUUGAACUUUUCUGAUGUAGAAACACACUGAUAGCCUCAAAAAUUCUGAGGGGCCUGGGGCUCUCAGUCCGGAGCCUCGGCCUUCCUGAACUGCUUUCACAUCCUGGACACUCAUCUGCCCCUGGGUGUCUUAAUCCUG
ensembl:lncRNA